GGGGAUUUAGCUCAGUGGUAGAGCGCUUGCCUAGCAAGCACAAGGCCCUAGGUUUGGGAUCCCCA
rnacentral:tRNA from 1 species